ACAAAAAAAUUAGCCAGGCGUGGUGGCGGGCGCCUGUAGUUCCAGGUACUCUGGAGGCUGAGGCAGGAGAAUGGCGUGAACCUGGGAGGCGGAGCUUGCAGUGAGCCGACCAUCGUGCCACUGCACUCCAGCCUGGGCGACAGAGCGAGACUCCGUCUCAAAAAAAAAAAAAGUGGCACACCAUUACUUCUGCCAUAUUCUGUUUGUUAAAAUAGAACACUAGUCUAACCCACACUGAAAAAGAGGAGAAUUAGACACCACCUUGGGGUGAAUGAAAGUCAAAAAAAUGUGUGGACAUUUAAAAACCACUAGUGUCACUUGAGGACUUUGUUCAUUUGGUCAAAGUAGUGAAAUUUAUGAGCAUGUUUUUCAUAAUGUUCUUUUAUUAACCCUUUAAUUUUAUAGCAUAUGCCUAUAUGCCCACUAUCUAGAUUCUACCAUUAACAUUUGACUCUUCUUGUUUUGUCAUAUAUCUAUCUAUUCUAUGUAGCCAUCCUUUUUUUUCUUCCGCCUUUUUUACGUAAGUAUUGUCUUUUCUCUUUUCUUCUUUGCUCCCCAGUUGAUUAAACCAGUGUUUCUCUGGGGCUGAUUGGGACUCAAGUGUCUUCCAGCUUUGUGUGAGCUCUGGGAAUUGUUUAGCUUAUAGUUCCGAGGGUCAUUCUCUGCCCAGACUUACUGGGUUUCAUCCUACACAAGUAUAUCUUAGUAUUCAACCACAGACUCAAGGGGACAUCCUCCCUUGCAGAUUUCUGGAACUCUUUCUUGAUUUACCUUCUUCCUUUCUGGUACUCUGCCCUGCAAAUUCCAGCCACUUUUGCCUCCCCAAACUGAUCUCCAUUCCUUCAACUCAACAAGACUACUGUGGUCUGUUUGGGGGAUCCCCCCCUCCCCGCACCUUGGGCUGGAAUGUGUCUCCAGGCAAAAGUACAGGCAAUUAUAAGGCUCUCCUCAUUUGUUUCUUCUCUCUCAGGGACCACAGUUCUGUACUGCUUGUUGACCAAUGCUUGAAAACUGUUAUUUCAUAUCUUUUGUCCAGUUUUUAAAUUAUUUACAGUGGGAGGAUUAGUCCAGUCCCACUUCCUCCAGAAAGAGUAAUUCUGGAAUCUCAUUUUUAUUUUCUAAUGCAACAUAGUGGUAAGACCUCCACUCUGAAUUAGAAAGACCUGAAUUUGAAUUCUAGCUCUGAAUUGAAUAAAUAGCUUCUUAAUAUUGUGGUUUUCUUUUAAGUGGGGAUAAUGAAAUUCCCUAUCUCCUGAGAUUAUUGUGAAGAUUUACUGAAUUAGGCAUUGUAUUAAUUUACUGUGGCUGCUGUAACAAAUUACUACAAACUGGGUGACUUAAAACACAGUUUUGGAGACCAAAAGUCCAAAACAGUUUCACUGAGCUGAAAUCAAGGUGUCAAUAGGACCACGGUCCUUCGCGGGCCCUAGGGGGGAUUCAUUCCUUGCCUCUUCCACCUUCUGAUGGCCACAGGCCUUUGGCUUAUGGCUGCAUCACUCCAAUCUCUGCCUUCAUAGUUACAUUCUUUUCUCCUCUUCUCUCUGUAUCAAAUUCCCCUCUGCCCCUUUCUUAUAAGGAUUGCAUUUAGGACCCGCCCAGAUAAUCUAGGAUAAUCCCCUCAUUUUUAAGAUCCUUAAUCACAUCUGCAACCCAUUUUUCUUACAAGGCAACAUUUACAAGUUUCAGGGAUUAGAACAUGAUGUCUUUCUGUGGCCAUUAUUUAGCCUACUACGAGGUGAUAAAGCAUUUGACACACAUUCACUAAUAAUCAAAACAUUUAACAAACACUACAAGGCACCAAGGCACCAACCUAUCAGAUAAUAAUCACCAACUAAUAAGAAUGGAUGCUGGCCACAAACCCCCCUAACAGUGCCUUUGGCUGAAUAGCAGCCCUGUACUUGCCAUAUGCCAGCAUCUCACACAUCCUAUACACCGAAUAAAUAUGAGUUCAUUGAGAUCCGACUUAAGUCAUUUCUACUACUUCUUAAAUGUCUGGGCAUGUUCUUUGGUCAUUUAUUUGCAGGGUCUUGUGUUCUGCUUCUCUAUUUGUCUGAGUACUUCAUAUAGGGAGGAUGCUAACAUUCGCAUAUUUGUGACAAAUGUUUGCAUUAUAUUGUGUUAAUAUUUUCUAAAUCUUAUACUUGAUUAUAUGUAUCUAGAUAAUAUGUUCUUAACCUUCAUUUUUAAAUAUAUACAUUUAAAUUGAGUAUAUGGCUUAUUAUCUCAUUAGGUUGUAUUAAACUUAAUGAAAUAAAUAUACUGAUAUACACUAACUAGGCUUUUUGAAUGCAAGAUUCUUCUUUAAAUCUUUUUCUUUGCAAACAAAAGGAUCUCUGUUUUCCCCAAAGAUAAGCAAAUUUGUCAUGGCCAGUUUUUAUUAUGCUUAAACAUGCACUUAUAAAAUAGAGAUGUUAGAGUUAAAUGUGAAUUGCAAAGACUUGUUUUUUUUUUUUUUUUUUUUGGAGACAGUGUCUCUGUAGCCCAGGCUGGAGUGCAGUGAUGCAAUCACAGCUCACUGCAACCUCAAACUCCUGGACUUAAGCAAUCUUCCAGUCUCAGCCUCCCAAGUAGCUGGGGGAAUACAGGGACACACCACCAUGCCCAAUUUAUUUAUUUAUUUAUUUAUUUAGCAGAGACAAAGUUCUCGCUAUAUUGCUCAGGCUAGUCUCAAACUGCUAAUCUCAAGCAAUCCUCCUGCCUCAGCCUCCCAAAGUGCUGGGAUUACAGGUGGGCAUCACUGUGCCUGGCUGAAAAGACUAUUAAAGUCAUGAUAGGGUUGGAUAGAGAAGUAGAGUAUAGAAACCUCUUGUUUGUCACAUGAGUCUCUUUAGGACAGUUGUAGUAGGCAGAAUUCUAAAAUGGUCCCCAAGACUUACCCCCACUGUACACACCCUGUUACUGUAAAUUUGAUGUAUCUACUACCUUGACUAGGUUACGUUUUAUGGCACAGUUGACCUAAUUAUCCAGGUGGACCUGCCCUAAUCAGAUGAGCCUUUUAAAAGCAAAGAAUUUUCUUGGCUGGUUGCAGAAGAGAAAGUCAGAGAGUUGAAGCAUAUAGGCCAUUGCUGGCUUAAAGAUGGACGCAGGUAUGUAGUAAGGAAUGUGGGCAACCUCUAGGAGCUGAGAGCAGUUCCUGGAUGACAGCCAGCAAGGAAACUGGGACCUCAGUCCUGCAAGGAAAUGAAUUCUGCCAACAACCACUUGAUCUUGGAAGAGGACCUCAAGCCUCAGAUGAGAAACACAGUCCAGGCUGACACCUUGAUUAUAGCUUGGUGAGACCUUUGAGCAGAGAGCCCAGUCACAUUAUGGCCUUACUUAUGACCUACAGAAACUGGGAGAUAAUAAACUCUUGCUUUAAAUUGCUACAUUUGUGGCAAUAGAAAACUAAUAUCUAAUUCCAUCUCUCAAGGAAUAGAUAGCCUAAUUUCACAGGCAUACUUUUUUUGUAAUUAUGUGUUUAGCAAUUUAUACUAUAAAAUACUGAAUUGUUUUUUAUCCUUCAGACUAAACACCAAGCAUCAUUGUGAUGUGUGAAGAGAUGCUAGUUAAAAUGUAUCUGCCCUUGAGAGUUCUAAGGGUGAUCUAAUUUUUCUGCAAAUCUAUUUUUUAAUUUUUAAUAAUAUGAAUAUGAUUUUUUUUAAAUGAAAAAUUUAAAGAAAUAACCACCCCACAAUCAUCUACCAGUGAAUGGGCCAGAGAAGAGCUGCCAGACAAGAUUGACUACAUAAUCAUUAGGCCCAGAACACAGUGAAAAUGCAGCAUCCCUUGUUCAAAAAAAUUAUUAAGAAUUUCAAGACACGGCAGCAGAGCAUUAAACCAAGAGUGGGGUCCUUCUGAACAUGGGGUCCUAUGUGAUGGCACAGGUCACAAAACCAUGGAGCCAACCAGCUCUGUGCCCAGACCUUCUCCAGCACCUUCCAGAUAAAAGCUUAACUAAGAGCUACAUACUUUCCAAAGGCACCAUUGCUUCUUCACUGGGUGACAUUUGCAAAAUAAUUGCCCAUAAUGCCACCAUCUAGGACAAUGAGAUCCUUUCAGAAUUUUCUCCAAGCUUGUAUGUGUAUAUGGAUGUGUGUUUGUGUAUGUGUCUCUUUGACACAGGUGGAUUGUUCUUAACAAUUGUUGUACUAUUGUGUCACUUAAAAUUAUAGCAGGAGUAUUUCUCUGUAUUAAUAAAUAGUAUUUAAGAAUAAAAUUUAAAUAUUUACAUAUUUCCAAUCUUUUAUAUAAGAAAAUCUCAGCAAGGUCACAGAACUAAGUAAUAAAAG
rnacentral:lncRNA from 1 species